rnacentral:rRNA from 4 species
CUCGGCAACGGAUAUCUCGGCUCUCGCAUCGAUGAAGAACGUAGCGAAAUGCGAUACUUGGUGUGAAUUGCAGAAUCCCGUGAACCAUCGAGUCUUUGAACGCAAGUUGCGCCCGACGCCAUUCGGCUGAGGGCACGUCUGCCUGGGUGUCACGC